GAAAUGCGAUAAGUAGUGUGAAUUGCAGAAUUCAGUGGAUCAUCGAAUCUUUGAACGCACAUUGCGCCCCUUGGUAUUCCAUGGGGCAUGCCUGUUCGAGCGUCAUUUGUACCCUCAAGCUCUGCUUGGUGUUGGGUGUUUGUCCCGUCUCCGCGCGUGGACUCGCCCCAAAGUGAUUGGCAGCCGGCGUACUGGUCCCGGAGCGCAGCACAUGUCGCGCAAACGAGUGCCUUGGUACGGCGGCGUCCAUAAGCCCCUCUCUCACGCUCUUGACCUCGGAUCAGGUAGGGAUACCCGCUGAACUUAAGC
rnacentral:misc_RNA from 1 species